CGCGCGGUUGGCCGCGCGCUGCUGUGGCUGCUGCAAAGGACGCCAAAUCUCGCGUAGGCGUUGGGCACGGCCUGCGCGGGGCUGCACCAUGGGUUGGCUUGGUCGGCCAACGCUUGGAUUGGCCUCCAAGCAAUGAAUCUGUCUCGGGCAUUGGUCUUGGCCGAGGUUGGCCUCGGCCAAAUUAGCAUUGUCUUGGCUUUUGAGCGAGGUUGGCCUCGCUUGACCCGGCUGAAAUUUGACUGGGCGGAGCGGGGUUGCUAACA
rnacentral:lncRNA from 1 species